GUUACUUGCAUUUUAUGCAGACUCUUACUUGUGCCAGUUAGCUACAAAUUUGGGAUUAUAGUCAGUCCACUGCUCCUCCAGAUAAAUCUGAGGCAAAAUCUACUGCAUUAGCUCUAAUAGAGUCCUUUGCAAGCUUGACCUAACCUGGUCAGGAUCUGUUCUGAUUGAAUUGUAAAGCCUGUUAUGUCUCUUGCUGUACAUUUCUCUUGCUGCUAAAGUCUUCAUGUUUAGUCGGAUAUACUAAUUCUUCCAAGAUCCUGGCCAUCUCAGCCCUACCAUCGGUCUACCCUUUGAGGUGUUUGGGAUUUAACAAAAAUGAACUACUUCUCUUGCCCAUGUGAGUAAAUGUUUUAUGUAGUUGAAGAAUUCGAUGUGGGCAAAGGCCAUCUAUUUUGUUGUUGUUGUUCAGCAGUAUAUAUUUUGUACAUAGCAGGUACUUGUGCUCAAUUAAUGUUAGCUUAAUUAAUUUAUUUAUGUCUUUAACACUUAGGGUCUUGCCAGACUUUAGAAGGGAUAAAAAUAAUUCAUGUUUAUAUGUUUAAAAGGAGAAAACCCACUUGAAUUGGUUACUAACCAGAUAUUUUACUCCAAACUGUACACAAGGUAUCGACUUUUAAUUUUGUUCAUAUUGUUAAAAAUAAGAAUCCUACUUGCUGCCAUGUUUGUCAUAAGGCAAACAUCCUACAGGAAUUUCCAUUUACUUCUUUACUUGUAAGAAGCGUAGGAAUAUGAAAGCUAUAUUUUAUUAUUUCAGGUAGAACCCUGGCAAGACAUUCUACAAGCUUUCCUACAGUACUCAUUUUUCCAUUAAUCUCAAUUUUACUGAGACAGAUUCCAUUGUAUUGGAAACUCUCUAAGGAAUUUGAAGUCUGGGUCAAUUCUCUGUUAUAUACUUGAGUGCAGUAUAUGACAUUAUAUAGUCCUACUGUCCAAGGAGCUCAAAGCAUUUGAUAAAUAUCAUCCUGUUGAUCGUAUUCACUUUCCUGAACAGUACCUGGCAAGCAUUGGUAUCACCAUUUAGCAGUGAGAUGAAGCUAUGAGAACUAAAAUGCAGAGGGAUUUGAAAGACCAGUAA
rnacentral:lncRNA from 1 species